rnacentral:piRNA from 1 species
UGAAAUGACAGUGGAUCAUACUUCUUCAUUU